rnacentral:rRNA from 1 species
AGAGUUUGAUCCUGGCUCAGAUUGAACGCUGGCGGCAUGCCUUAAACAUGCAAGUCGAACGGUAACAGGUCAAGCUGACGAGUGGCGAACGGGUGAGUAAUAUAUCGGGACGUGCCCAGUCGUGGGGGCUAACUGCUCGAAAGAGCAGCUAAUACCGCAUACGACCUGAGGGUGAAAGCGGGGGAUAGCAAGACCUCGCGCGAUUGGAGCGGCCGAUAUCAGAUUAGGUAGUUGGUGGGGUAAAAGCCCACCAAGCCAACGAUCUGUAGCUGGUCUGAGAGGACGACCAGCCACCCUGGGACUGAGACACGGCCCAGACUCCUACGGGAGGCAGCAGUGGGGAAUUUUGGACAAUGGACGCAAGUCUGAUCCAGCCAUGCCGCGUGCGGGAAUAAGGCCUUCGGGUUGUAAACCGCUUUUGUCAGGGAAGAAAAGGUUCUGGUUAAUACCUGGAACUCAUGACGGUACCUGAAGAAUAAGCACCGGCUAACUACGUGCCAGCAGCCGCGGUAAUAC